AUUGAACGCUGGCGGCAGGCCUAACACAUGCAAGUCGAGCGGAUGAAGGGAGCUUGCUCCUGGAUUCAGCGGCGGACGGGUGAGUAAUGCCUAGGUAUCUGCCUGGUAGUGGGGGAUAACGUCCGGAAACGGGCGCUAAUACCGCAUACGUCCUGAGGGAGAAAGUGGGGGAUCUUCGGACCUCACGCUAUCAGAUGAGCCUAGGUCGGAUUAGCUAGUUGGUGGGGUAAAGGCCUACCUAGGCGACGAUCCGUAACUGGUCUGAGAGGAUGAUCAGUCACACUGGAACUGAGACACGGUCCAGACUCCUACGGGAGGCAGCAGUGGGGAAUAUUGGACAAAGGGCGAAAGCCUGAUCCAGCCAUGCCGCGUGUGUGAAGAAGGUCUUCGGAUUGUAAAGCACUUUAAGUUGGGAGGAAGGGCAGUAAGUUAAUACCUUGCUGUUUUGACGUUACCAACAGAAUAAGCACCGGCUAACUUCGUG
rnacentral:rRNA from 1 species